rnacentral:rRNA from 1 species
UACAGAGGUCUCAAGCGUUGUUCGGAUUCAUUGGGCGUAAAGAGCGUGUAGGCGGCCAGGUAGGUCUGCUGUGAAAACUCGAGGCUCAACCUCGAGACGUCGGCGGAAACCAUCUGGCUAGAGUCCGGAAGAGGAGAGUGGAAUUCCUGGUGUAGCGGUGAAAUGCGCAGAUAUCGGGAAGAACACCAAUGGCGAAGGCGGGUCUCUGGGCCGAUACUGACGCUGAGGAGCGAAAGCGUGGGGAGCGAACAGG